GGCCUUUAUUUAUAUAUUAUUGUAAAGGUGCACUUUCAUAUUUUUCGUUAAACUGAAUUUGUUCAUAUCUUUCAAUAGGAUUAACAACAUAUAGGCUCUAUUUCAUCUGUAGGUGUGCGUCGAUCACCGGUAGAGUUUGCCGGAAAUCACUAGUCAAUAUCACAACAAUCUCUCCACAAUAAUCACAAUAAUCUCAUAAUAUCCGUGUUACUGCAUAAUAUUUCUUGAAGAGUUUGAUUUUGGGCAUCAAUUACCAUUUUUUGGUGUCAUUGUAUUUUAGCUCACACUUAAAGAACACAAAAGCGCAGUAUCUUACCCCGAGCACUAUUUUCCGAUUUUCCACAGAAAUAAGCUUGUUUUUCGGGACGAAAAGUGACAGAUGCCACUUUCCAAUCAUCCAAUUAUCCCUAUAAAAACAAUUUUUACCGUUACUCCUUAUAAUAU